rnacentral:misc_RNA from 1 species
AGGUUCAGCUGUAGGAGGUAUGGGCUGAGCAGAGGUAGCUGGAAUGUCCUGAGCAGGCUGAGGGGGUGGGGUAGGUGUAGUAGGGUGCUGUGGGACUGGUGUGAAAGGUUGGGUUUCUGGUUGUGCAAUAGGCUCAGUUUCUGCUGCAGGGUGGACAGUAUCAAAACAUGACAAAUUGAACCCUGUUUUGGUUAAGUGUGCAGUAUCAAAAUAUGAAGUGUCCUCAAGUGCUGGUAUUGAGUGCUCUGCAGGAUUAAAACCAAAAU